rnacentral:rRNA from 1 species
GACGAACGCUGGCGGCAUGCCUAAUACAUGCAAGUCGAACGCUGAAGCACUCUGCUUGCAGAGUGCGGAUGAGUGGCGAACGGGUGAGUAACACGUGGGAAAUCUGCCUAUAAGAGGGGGAUAACAUUCGGAAACGGAUGCUAAUACCGCAUAUAUUCUUGGACCGCCUGGUCCUUGAAAGAAAGACGGCUUUGCUGUCGCUUAUAGAUGAUCCCGCGGCGUAUUAGUUAGUUGGUGGGGUAAAGGCCUACCAAGACAAUGAUACGUAGCCGACCUGAGAGGGUGAUCGGCCACACUGGGACUGAGACACGGCCCAGACUCCUACGGGAGGCAGCAGUAGGGAAUCUUCCACAAUGGGCGAAAGCCUGAUGGAGCAAUGCCGCGUGAAUGAAGAAGGUCUUCGGAUCGUAAAGUUCUGUUAUUAGAGAAGAACAAGUCAAGGAGUAACUGUCGUGACUUUGACGGUACCUAACCAGAAAGUCACGGCUAACUACGUG